UGGAUGCAGGAAAACUUUAUUGAACCAAGAAGGGCAGGAGAGGCAGGGAGAGGGAGGGUGGGCAGGCCACAGGCAGGCCGGGUGUCACGGGCUGCAGGAGGCCAGGGCAGCUUGUGCAGAGCUCAGCUUCUCCAUGCUGGGCUGAGGCGGCCCCAGGGGCUUUGGGGCUGUUGCUGGU